GCUCUGGUGGCUCAGUGGUUAGAGCAUCUGCCUUGGAUGCAGGAUGGCCAGAGUUCAAACCCUGGCUAAGUCA